UGCUUCAGUGAACAGAGGAUGAGUCACAGGCAGGCUAUGGAGGCACACAGAAGAACCACUGAGGAUCUGUCCUGUCAGAUGGUCUUCUGCCCUGCAAGCAACGUGACAUCCAUCACAACCAGUUAAUCUUCAUCCUGCAGCUGGACUUGAACUUCAGCGAACACAAACUAGAUCUGUGCUGUCUCUAUAUGAUGUGCGCUGCUACUUCAGUUGUUCACAGACAUAUUUCCUUUUAUUUGUCUUUCCUCAUUUCCAUGAUAAAAACAGCUUCCUGCUGCUCACAAGUAAAAAGAAACAGAUUGUGAUGAGACUUCAAUUUUUAACAAGAUUUACUGUGAAUUAAAUAACUGUUUCCUAUACAAAUGUUUAGGAGUUUGAGAAAUGAGUUUUCCAUCAGGAAGAUCAUCAGACCUAUAAAUGAAAAGUCAUACACUGAGAAUACUUUCCAAAAACCAGGUGAAAUAAGUAAUACAAUGUAACCGGAUAUCAUAGGCAGCUAUGGCUAUUCUAUAAGUUGGCUUUGAUCAGAGUGGUAUUUCCUGAUUUGUUUAAAACUAAUGCCAUGCAAACAGGACCUUCUUCUCCCCAGACCACCCCUUUCAUAAUUGCUCAUCCAUUAGCUCAUACAUUUCUUUUAAUAUUUAUUCUCCGCCUGUAUCCAGGCCUGCCAAAAUAAACACUUUGCACUG
rnacentral:lncRNA from 1 species